rnacentral:rRNA from 1 species
GACGAACGCUGGCGGCGUGCCUAAUACAUGCAAGUAGAACGCAGUUGCGAACGGGUGAGUAAGGCGUAGGUAACUGCCUCAUAGCGGGGGAUAACUAUUGGAAACGAAAGCUAAUACCGCACACUGUGAGAUGGACCUGCGUUGUAUUAGCUAGUUGGUGAGGUAAAGGCUCACCAAGACGACGAUACAGAGCCGACCUGAGAGGGAGAUGGGCCACAAUGGGACUGGGACACGGCCCAGACCCCUACGGGAGGCAGCAGUAGGAAAUCUUCGGCAGUGGAAAGAAGACUGACCGAGAAACGCCGCGUUAGCGAAGAAGGUUUUCGGAUCGGAAGGCUCAGUUGUUAGAGAGGCGGUAACAAACCAAUAAGGGACGGCUAACUACGUGCCAGCAGCCGCGGUAAUAC